rnacentral:other from 1 species
CCCCUGCUGUGUGCGACGCGAACUGGAUAGUCUUUCGACCCUAAAUUUUGACCUUGGGGUUGUGUUCUGUAGGUGGCGUUGCGCAGAUCCGGCUUGAACCGGGAAGCCUGCAACUACCACGGCGUACCCCACUUUUUGCUCUGGUUCGAGAGCAGCUGUUCGCGACGGCAUAUGUGGGGG